AUGGGGAUCGAACCCUGCAACUCGGAAUCAGUUCCAUUGAAGUGUGUGGCCAGUGAGGAACCCUCCAUGUCCACAUGGCUGUCAGUCAACCUUGGCCUACAGCAGAAAAUCCACUUGGUGUGCUCUUACCUAAAUCUUGGAACAUGGGGCGCAUGGGUGGCUCGGUGGAUUAAGCCUCUGCCUUCGGCUCAGGUCUUGAUCCCGGAGUCCUGGGAUCGAGUCUCACAUCGGGCUCUCUGCUCAGUGGGGAGACUGCUUCCUCCUCUCUCUUUGUCUCCCUCUCUGCCUACUUGUGAUCUUGAUACUCUGAUCAAGUAAAUCAAUAAAAUCUUAAAAUAAAAUAAAAUAAAUCUUGGAACGAAAACCACAACCUGCCAAGACCGGGGACUCCCAGCAGUGUUUUCCAGACUUCGAGUAGUGGCCUGGGAAACUCCCUUCAGCUGGUCAUGAACUAGGACGCAAGGAGCAAAGGUAACAUUGCUGGACGGAAACCCUCCUGUCAAUAACGUGAGACUCCGUUCUCUCCCUCAUUCCUGCCGUAAGUACUCAUUGAGUGUCCACCGUGAACUAGGAGAUUCAGAAGAAAGUAAAACACACAAGUGUGUGUGCCUGUGUCCUUCACGGAGGGUUACUGUGUGUGUCAGAAAGUUACCACCAGAACACACAGGCCCCUCAUUCCUUUUUCAGCACGAAGGCUUUGUUGAAGAGGAGAAACUCUGCCCUUGGCCAGCAGCCGUUGGGCAAGGGUCAGAAGGUUCAUGUUGCCAGGGCCACGGAAGGGGCUUGGUGAGGUCGGAUCCCUAGGCCCAGGGAGGGCUGCCUCCUGCCUCCUCCCCGCAAGCUCCGGGCACUUGAGGAGCUUUAUUCCCGGGAGAGCGAGGUGACCCCGCCCAGAGUUGGGGAGCCUGGCUGCAGAUCCCUCAUGUUGGGCAAGAGCAGAGAACCGGCCCCUUGGAUCCUUGCUGGGGACAUCUGGAGACACCAGCAAUAAUGGGAAAUCCGGGCACAGAGAGGGAGAGCGGGGGAGGGGCAGGGGGACAGGUGACCUGCACCCCAGCCCCUCCUGGCCUGGACCCCUCCGAACUGUGUGGUGAGGAGCGAGGUGGCCGUGGGGGUGGGCGGGGCAGGCCAGGAGACCCCUUUCUCUGGGAAGAACAGAGACCGUCGUGUCCCCCGCCCCCGCCAUGCUUUGCCCGAGUUCCAACCCUGUUUCCACUUCUGUUUACUGUCCAAAGUCCUGGGGGCAGGAAACGCCAGGUUAGAACCACUCGGACGCCAGGACACACGGGCUCAGGGACCUCACGGGGACGGCCCCUCCUGGUGCCACCUGCUCCACUUCUCGCCCUAGCCCCUCCUCGCCCUGGGGCCCAGGCCACCCGAGGGACCCAGGAGUCAGUCCUCCGCACCUCUUACAGCCCAGGUGGUGGCCUCGGCCUGCUCACCUCCAGCCCCAUCAUCGGCCUCUCCCUGAAGCAGCCUUUUAGCACAGGCCUCAGCUCCGAGCUCAGCCCCUGCAACUAGAGCCUCAGUCCGAACCAGCUCCAGCCCUGGGCCCGGCAUGGCCAUCCGGCAGCCGGACACCGAGGACAAUGACCAGCAGCUGCCUGGAGGGGAGGGCCCGGGCCCGCGUGCGCACAACCCCAGGAGAGGAGACCAGUUCUACGUAGGGAGGCCUCGGAGCCCUGCCCUUCUGCAGCGCGUCUGCUCCACGUUCCGACUCAGUCUGCUCGUCCUCGGGUUCAACAUCCUGCUGCUGGUGGCCAUCUGCGUGAUUGGGUCCCAAAGAACACAGCUGCAAGAGGAGCUGCGGGUCCUAAAAGAAAACUUCACCCACUUCUCCAACGGGGUCCUGUCGGAGAUCAGCACCCUUCUCUUCCACGGGGGCAGUGCCGGUCAGCAGCUGACCUCUCUGGAGGCCAAGCUGGAGAAGCAGCAGAAGGAUCUGAAAGCAGAUCACGCUGCCCUGCUGCUGCACGUGAAGCACUUCCCGGUGGACCUCCGCAUCCUCACCUGUCAGAUGGCCUUCCUGCGCAGCAACGGCACACAGUGCUGCCCCGUCAACUGGCUGGAGUACGAGGGCAGCUGCUACUGGUUCUCCCACUCCGGGAAGACGUGGGCCGAUGCGGAACGGUACUGCCGGCUGGAGAGCGCGCACCUGGUGGUCAUCAACUCCCGGGAGGAGCAGAAGUUCAUUAUGCAACACACGAACCCCUUCGAUGCCUGGAUAGGUCUCACGGACAGCGACGGCUCCUGGAAAUGGGUGGACGGCACCGACUAUGAGCAGAGCUACAAGAACUGGGCGGCCACUCAGCCCGAUGACUGGCAGGGGCACGAGGUGGGUGGAGGCGAAGACUGCGCGGAACUCCGGACCAACGGCCGCUGGAACGACAACUUCUGCAAGCAGCCAUUGUGUCGGUACUAACUGAGAUAAGACAGAAGGAACUUCUUGAACAUCACGUCGGCGAAAAUGUACAGUGCAAACAGGCAAAUAGGAGCCUGUCCGCUUCAACAUUACUUACAAAAGCCAGGGACGCCGCGUCCCCAAAAUGCACGGCGGUUUGGCACCUGUACGCUCCGGAGCCCCAUUAAACAGAUGGCCAUGAGCCGUGGCGUGGGAAAACCCUCGAGACCCAUUUUUAGGCAGACGCAUGCCGUGGAGAAAAAUUUCGGUAAAAGGAAAACAGCGACCUGCCCCAUCAGUGGGCAUAGCCCGACCGGUGUACAAAUAUGCAGAGAAAUUGGUCUGAAAAGACCACUCAUCACAUCUCUGGGUCUGGGGGCUGGAAAUGGGGUAAGUGUAUUGGUUUACUUACCUUUCCCUGACCUCUCCUGCCUGGGCCGCGGGGGGUGGGGGAGCGGUGAGACCCCUUCAGUCUGUGGCCAGUAUGGUUCCGUCUUCCCCACCUCCCAGCCAAGGGACUGGGGAGGGUGGCAUCUCCUCUCACCGAUGCCCGACAGUCCACUGUUGGAGUGUUUGCCCUCCAUCUGUGCCAUGGGAUCAUUGGACUUUAGGAGUCCUAGUGCCCAAGGAAAGGACCCCCCCACCCCCCGCAACCAGGGAAAGCAGCCUUGGUCCUGUGGCAAUUUGAAGAUGCCUCUUGAUUCCUGCCUGAUUUGGGCUCCUCAAAACCACCAGUAGGUAGGGGGUGGAGGUAAGUGAGCCUUGGAGGGGACUGAUGGAUGCUGGCUAAGGAGGGACAUGGUUGUGCUGCUUGGCAAUGGGGAGGGGAGAGGACGGAGCCUGCGGCCCGGGAGGCUGUCUGGGGAGCUGCAGAGCUCCCCGGCGUGAUCAUGAAAUGGUGGGUGGCAAAUCGCAGUCCCUGCACCAGGUAAAAGGAUCCUGCCCAGCUGAGGGGCUGGGAGAGGGCUAAGGCUCCACAGGGAAGCCGUACUCGUCCACCAAGAAAGAAGUCUCAGAGGCAAAAGCACUUAGGAGAGCAAAGAAGGUUAUUGGCAAAGUAGCCGUAAGGCAAUCAGCCUUUGGGAG